ensembl:snRNA U4 U4 spliceosomal RNA
AGCUUUGCACAGUGGCAGUAUCAUAGCCAAUGAGGUUUAUCUGAGAUGUGAUGAUUGCUAAUUGAAAAUGUCUUUCCUUUUUGGCUUUAGAAUCUUAGAAUUUAUUAGAUUAUCUAGGGAAA